rnacentral:rRNA from 1 species
GACGAACGCUGGCGGCGUGCUUAACACAUGCAAGUCGAACGGAAAGGCCCUGCUUUUGUGGGGUGCUCGAGUGGCGAACGGGUGAGUAACACGUGAGUAACCUGCCCUUGACUUUGUGAUAUCUUCAGGAAACUGGGGCUAAUACCGGAUAGGUGCUCCUGCUGCAUGGUGGUGGUUGGAAAGUUUCGGCGGUUGGGGAUGGACUCGCGGCUUAUCAGCUUGUUGGUGGGGUAGUGGCUUACCAAGGCUUUGACGGGUAGCCGGCCUGAGAGGGUGACCGGCCACAUUGGGACUGAGAUACGGCCCAGACUCCUACGGGAGGCAGCAGUGGGGAAUAUUGCACAAUGGGCGGAAGCGUGAUGCAGCAACGCCGCGUGCGGGAUGACGGCCUUCGGGUUGUAAACCGCUUUCGCCUGUGACGAAGCGUGAGUGACGGUAAUGGGUAAAGAAGCACCGGCUAACUACGUG